UUUCUCUCUCUCUUCACUAUUCUUUCUGGGUAAAAAUCAACGAGAAGCACCAAAUUUCUCCAUUGUUAUUCUUGCAACCUCUCUGGAUUCCAAAAUGUUGAGCAACCGUCAUCAAUAAAGGAUUGUCAGCAGCAGCAUUAUCUCCGGCAGAGGUAUAACCGCCGGUUUUCAUACAGAUCCGGUGGCUGUCACUAGAUUGAUGAGGUUUUGGUUGGGAUUCGCGACUGGGUGCUCAAUUUCAGGAAAACUAGGGUUUGGUAAGUGGAGAUUCCAACGAUCUAGGGCAUAAGUAAGGUUUCUCCGGUCGACUUGAACUUCCAGCAAACAAACCUAGGGUUCUUCGGUCGACUUGAACUUCCAGCAACCAAACCUAGGGUUCCGGCGAAAGACCUGAUUUUCUGGUCUGUGAACGGCGGCAUCUAAAACCAUAAGGUGUUUGGAAUGGAAGUUGGAACACAAUGGAUUUUGUGGGAAUUUAGUUAAAUAGGAAACCAGUGAGAUUGCUGUCACAACAUAAACAGGAACAACCUGAUACACAAUGUAAGUUUCUGAACAACAAGAUUUAUAAACCAAGGAAUGAUCAUAAACUUACACUACUAGAAGAAAAUAAUAUUUACUACCCCAAUUCCGGUAUUGUUGUCUCUUUUUUGGGACAAGUUUGCUACUAGAAUUGCGGAAAAAAAAUGUUGGUUGCAAACCAAAUUUGCGAUCGAUUUGCAACCGGGAAGUAUUUUGCCACUAAUAUUUUGGUCUCAAAUCCUGCGAUCGCAUUAUCAAGCACUUUUAGUGACUGGUUUAUGACAACUUUUUUAUGAUUGCAUAUUAAUGAUCCAUUUGUGGUUGUUUCUUAAGUGACGAUUUAUGUCCUAUAUUUGUUUUCUUCAUUUUCUUGACCAUUUUGCUAUUGACGUUAUUGUUAUAUAUAUUAAAAAGUAUGGCUUGUGAAUACAAUCAUCACGCAACACUUGACGCGUGUUCUUUUUAUUUUUUUAUACUUUUCUUUAUCUUUAUUUUUCUAUGUUUUGUAUAUUACACCACCGUACAUCACUUGACACAUGUCCUGUAUUUUUCUUUUGUUUAACUUGUAAUAUUUUUAACGUUUCUCUUUCUUUUUUAUAUUUUAUGCAGUUAUAGCACAAUACACUGUUGCAAGUUACUUAUUUUUAGCUACGCAUUUAUACAAAUAUUUUUCUAAAUCGAGUAGAGUCAAAUAUGGCAUUUUUUUUUACUUUUUUUUAUAUAAAACACACUUUUGAGAUUCACUUAUUUUUAUCUUUUUAAUUUAAUAUAUUAUUUAUAGUUUAAGUUUAUUACUGUUGCGAUGUGUUGAUUUUUAUCCAUGUUCCAAUACAAGUCUGAGUCUAAACCGAUCGCGGACAUAACCUGCUAGCAUCAUCAUAAAUGAACUUUUAAAUCUUAAUUAUAAGGGGACCUUUAUUGAGUUUCGAAGUGGGAUGAUUAACGUUUCACCAAUCGGGCGAAACUGCAGCCAAGAAGAAAGAGAUGAAUUUGAGAGAUAUGAUAAGGUAGUUCUUUAUAAACCCUAAAGAGUGGGGGAUUUAGAGUUUGCAUUUGAACCUCCAAGUGAUGAGGAAAUCAAUUAUGACGAUGUUAGCAGCGGUGGAGAAGACGACGAAGAAGAAAACAACGGUGUAGAAGAAAAAAUAACUAAAAAGAAGACACAGUCUCCGUGGGACUUUUCUUCUUACACUGAAUCAAUUGCAGAGGAACACGCUCGCAGAAGCACUAUAUUGAUGAAAAAGUUUCGAAGCUUAUCCAACAGCGUGGUCAUGCGAAAAUAAUACCAGAAAAAGAUGAGGUUGAUGAAGAUGGCUCUUCUGAUUCUGAGCCAGACCGUCAGGUGAAUUGAGUAACAGAGUGAGAGGAUGAAAACGAAUGAAAACGAAUGAUGACGUCUGACGGUAAUAAUAUUAAGUAUUAGCAUAAAUUAAGUUCAUGUGUGGAAUCAUCCUCGAUGCCAAAUGUAUUGUCAGUUUCAACACUUAAUGUAUCUCCACUUUCGUUUUCAAUGAAUCAUCGAGUCGGGGGUGAUGGCGAACAUUUAUAUGCUUUUUAAACAUUGGUUUUUUUGAACAUUUCAGUUUGUUU
rnacentral:lncRNA from 1 species